UUUGACACAAGGUGCAUUUUUCAGAUUUCCCCAGGUUUCAGGGAUCCAGAUUGGCUUUGAUCCCAAUGAAAAACCUGGCCACAGAGUCAUCGCUAAGACAGUGAAGGCUCAAGGCAAGAGUCUAGAUAGAGACAGAAAGUAUGCAGUGGCCAUGAAAUAAUUCUUAACAAAGGGCAAAGAUGGCUACACCAUGUUCAGUAGCUGUCCUCAUAGGAACGACAUAGAGAACGCUCAGAUCCUGUCGACCAUCCUCAUCAACCACUUUGAGUCUGGGCAUGAAGAGGUGCAUGUCUGGCCACAGGAUGGGCCUCAUCAAGGUGUCCAGCAGCCCCUCUGUGUCUGGUGAACACAGCUGCCUCAUUAAUUAAUUAAUUCAUUCAUUCAGAUAAGGAAUCUCUUAUUCAAGCAAGAGCUGGUUUUCAUUGUUGUGCUGAUCACAUCUGUGAAUGAGAGCUAACCUGGAGCGUGUAUUAAUGGUGUUUCUGCAGCCAUUGAGAGAUCCAAGAGUGAGAAUCUGGAGGGAGGAGGUGGGAGUGGCUGUGGUGCCCGGAGUAGUGGGCAGGAUAUUCCAUGUCCACCCUGAGGGCCAAUCAGAAACAGAAGGCUAACAGUGGGCAGGGCUGUUCCUCAGCCAGGACUCCAUAGUCACAGUGUAAGCCAGGGGACAUUACAUCAAGUCUUUCACAUCUCAGGUGGACUGUCAAUGAACGCUCAGACAGCAACAUGAGAUGACAUAAUCCAUUAUUUGUGUUACUGUUGAAGGAAUCCAGGAGCAAGCAGUCCUUGAAGUUGUAAAUACAAUUUAUUGAUGACUCAAAAUUACAAUUUUUUUUUCUCUUUCGUAAAUACAGUUGAAUAUCAAAAACGAAUAUAUUACAGAAAAUGUAUUUAUUUUUGAAUGAUCCAUUUGUAGCAUAGAUGGUGGUGAUGUAUCAUGAUUUGAAUGGAGGAGGAAGAGGGAUAGUCUACAUGUGUUCAUGACAACAUUACAGUAAAAAGGAAAUUAAUUGAAGAAACCCACCACUUUGUUUUUGUGUUUAUAACAACCCCUGACUGUAUGUUAUCCUUUAAAAUGAGAUAGUCUCAGUCAAUGUGCAAGGCCAAUGUUCUUCAUAGCAAAUGACAUCUUGACAACAUCACAGUGUUGGGUAAAUGAAUCAGUGAUUCCCUGUUUCUACAGUUGAAAGAACGCUGCUGUAACGGAUGAUAAUGUGAAGUAUUGUGUGGCCUAUACGGUUUGGGGACUUUUUGGUCAUGCUCCAGGGCUUGACAUUCACUUUUUUUGCUACUUGUCCUUUGGACAAGUAGGACAGAUUUUAUACUUGUCCAAAAGCUCAAAUCACUUGUCCAAAAAUAAAAAUAAAUCUGUAACACCAUAUUAAGUGUUUCUAAAUAAAAUAAUUGCAUCAACAUUUCUGUGGUCAUAUUUUGGCUAGGCUAGGUUAAUUUGAAACAAGGUAAGACAUGCUU